CGCGCUGCAACUGCGCCUGCCCACGUGGGGACAUGUUGCUCGUGGAGCCGAUCCGAAAUUCAUCCUGAGACAGGCUGCCUGGGGCCGGGGUCUGGCUCCUGCUCCAUCCCGGACACCGGCAUCGCCUCCUCUCCCACAGCAUGACCGGGCAGGAGCCCUGUGCCUGCAGGGAGGUGGCAGAGCUCGGGCUUUGUCUGGAGUACCCUCGAUGGUACCAGAAGCACCACAGAUGCUCAUCUCACCCUGCCCUUGUAGAGAGAUCAACAGAUCCCAGCCUGUCCUGUGCCACCCUACAAACUUGCUUUUUCUGGAGGUCUAGUCAUGAUCAGAGUUGAUCUUGUGGAAGACAGGCCAACACAUAACCCUCAGACAUCUGCUCUCAUCCUCCAGAAGCACUUUACUGUGGGAGGGGUAGAGGAGCUGCUCGUAAAGGAAGACAAUUUAGCACUUGAAGGGAUUUUCAGUUCUCAAGAGACCUGGUAGGCAACUGAGUGGAGCAGAAGAGCUAAUCCAAGGAAUCAUUAAUGACAUGCAUCUCAGGACCUCGUGCAAUGUUAUCCUGAAAUGCAGCACAAACGUUUCCAACUGAGAUUUAAACUGAGUCACACCGAUGUGUUUUAAUAAUGGUGCUGUGCAGCAGCCCAUGGGAUGAACGCUCAUUCCUGUAUAUUAUCAGUAAGGCGCUUGCAGGCCAAAAGCGGAGACAAUGUGGAUCUUGUUUGGGAAGCAGAAAAGAGGUGAAAGAUGUGCCGAGAAAUUGGGGGGGGGGAAAUUAAUUUUCUUUGGUGCUGAGAUUGGCUCCGAAAAAGAGAAGUAACAACAACCUACCACCAGAUGUCAUCUUGAAGCUAACUAAUAACGUCCAAAGCGGCGGAGACGAAGGAUCCCGAGAGAAUUGCGCUGUGAAGCGGUGGGGGGGCACUGGGAUUUCUUGAACGAGAUGGCUGCACUCUAAUAUAGCUAAUGACCACUGAGGUGGAGAGUUGUUUCAGAGUGGGCUUUUCAAUUUGCUUACAUCAAUCCCAGAAGAAUUUAAAGUACUGCAACUUGUAACAUUCUAAAGUUUAGUCUUGCUAAAAAGCUCCACUCAGGAUCUCCAUUCUGCUUGAACACAAGACACUGAUGGAUCUGAGCAGUCUCAUCUGUCUUGACACUGAUUAAAAUAUGAUGGAUAUGAUAAUAAUUGUUUAAUGGCUUAAUUACAAAAGCUUUGCUGCACCUUGUGUUUGAGCUGUCAUUAGAAUAGAUGUUUGCAUGUGGUUGAUAUUUGACAUUUAAGAGUGUGGGAAAAUUCCCCAUGAAGGAAAUCCAGAUGGAAAAUGAAGACAAUAGGACAUUUUUUAACCCACAUAAAGUCUUUUUUAAUCUGUUACCUGUGCAGAAAUGGUUACACUUUUUAUACAGAGAAAGUUUCAUUCUAGGUUUGGGUAAAAUUCUGAUAGUAAAUGAAAUAAAUAAAUUGAAAAGUAGGUAUUUUAAUCCAGCUGUAAGGCUAAAUCUCUAUACAGUAUUGUUUGUAGAGGUGGUGCUAACGUUUCUAACAUGCAACUUCUUCAAGCACCUUUUGGGUUGAGCUGAGAAGAUUAGAUGUAAACUUAUUGACAAAGGAUUGGAAAACAUUCUACA